rnacentral:rRNA from 1 species
UGCUCGAAGGUGCGGGUAUCGAACAGGAUUAGAUACCCUGGUAGUCCGCACGGUAAACGAUGGAUGCCCGCUGUUUGCGAUACACAGUAAGCGGCCAAGCGAAAGCAUUAAGCAUCCCACCUGGGGAGUACGCCGGCAACGGUGAAACUCAAAGGAAUUGACGGGGGCCCGCACAAGCGGAGGAACAUGUGGUUUAAUUCGAUGAUACGCGAGGAACCUUACCCGGGCUUGAACUGCAGCGGAAGGAUACAGAGAUGUUGACGUCCUUCGGGACCGCUGCGGAGGUGCUGCAUGGUUGUCGUCAGCUCGUGCCGUGAGGUGUCGGCUUAAGUGCCAUAACGAGCGCAACCCCUGCGGUCAGUUGCCAUCAGUUAGAGCUGGGCACUCUGGCCGGACUGCCACCGCAAGGUGUGAGGAAGGUGGGGACGACGUCAAAUCAGCACGGCCCUUACGUCCGGGGCUACACACGUGUUACAAUGGGGAGCACAGCGAGUCGGCCGCCCGCAAGGUCGGUCCAAUCAUGAAACCUCCCCUCAGUUCGGACUGGGGUCUGCAACCCGACCCCACGAAGCUGGAUUCGCUAGUAAUCGCGCAUCAGCCA